rnacentral:rRNA from 1 species
GAUGAACGCUGGCGGCGUGCCUAAUACAUGCAAGUCGAGCGAACAGACGAGGAGCUUGCUCCUCUGACGUUAGCGGCGGACGGGUGAGUAACACGUGGAUAACCUACCUAUAAGACUGGGAUAACUUCGGGAAACCGGAGCUAAUACCGGAUAAUAUAUUGAACCGCAUGGUUCAAUAGUGAAAGACGGUUUUGCUGUCACUUAUAGAUGGAUCCGCGCCGCAUUAGCUAGUUGGUAAGGUAACGGCUUACCAAGGCAACGAUGCGUAGCCGACCUGAGAGGGUGAUCGGCCACACUGGAACUGAGGCACAGUCCAGACUCCUACGGGAGGCAGCAGUAGGGAAUCUUCCGCAAUGGGCGAAAGCCUGACGGAGCAACGCCGCGUGAGUGAUGAAGGUCUUCGGAUCGUAAAACUCUGUUAUUAGGGAAGAACAAAUGUGUAAGUAACUAUGCACGUCUUGACGGUACCUAAUCAGAAAGCCACGGCUAACUACGUG